AUUGAGGAGGUCACCUUUGGGAAGCAGCCGACACAAUUUCUUAAUUUGGAAAGAGCAACAGAACUUGCUGGAACGACUGUGGGUCUUGCAUUUAUGUCUACAAUGUGUUCUCCUUAUCAUUCUGUUGGCAUUGUUCAGGACCACAGUGAUGAUCUUCUUAGAGUUGCAGGGACAAUGGCACAUGAAAUGGGCCACAACUUUGGAAUGUUUCAUGACGACUAUUCUUGCAAGUGUCCUUCUACAAUAUGUGUGAUGGACAAAGCACUGAGCUUCUAUAUACCCACAGACUUCAGUUCCUGCAGCCGUCUCAGCUAUGACAAGUUUUUUGAAGAUAAAUUAUCAAAUUGCCUCUUUAAUGCUCCAUUGCCUACAGAUAUCAUAUCCACUCCAAUUUGUGGGAACCAGUUGGUGGAAAUGGGAGAGGACUGUGAUUGUGGGACAUCUGAGGAAUGUACCAAUAUUUGCUGUGAUGCUAAGACAUGUAAAAUCAAAGCAACUUUUCAAUGUGCAUUA
rnacentral:sRNA from 1 species